rnacentral:lncRNA from 1 species
CCGCAGUAAACUUGACGCAACGAGCCUUCAUACACUUGAAAUGCAACAUUUGUUUGCAUGUGAAUUGCGUUGCGACAUGUGUGUGUUUGGUGUGUGUUAGGCCGCGUUAAGCUUUAUGCAAUCAGCCUUCAUACGCAUGGAACGCAACAUGUAUUCGCAUGUGAAUAGCCUUGCGGACUGUAUGCGUUUGAUGUGCGAUUGGACGCGUAUUGCUUUACGCAUUGUCUCCCACAUGCACGAAUCGCAAUAUGGAAUCGCAUGCGUAUCGCCUUGCUACGCAGGCGCAUAUGCUUCACGUUUCA